GACGAACGCUGGCGGCGUGCUUAACACAUGCAAGUCGAACGGAAAGGCCCUGCUUUUGUGGGGUGCUCGAGUGGCGAACGGGUGAGUAAAACGUGAGUAACCUGCCCUUGACUUUGGGAUAACUCCAGGAAACUGGGGCUAAUAUCGGAUAGGAGCUCCUGCUGCAUGGUGGGGGUUGGAAAGUUUCGGCGGUUGGGGAUGGACUCGAGGCUUAUCAGCUUGUUGGUGGGGUAGUGGCUUACCAAGGCUUUGACGGGUAGCCGGCCUGAGAGGGGGGACGGCGACAAGGGGACUGAGAGAGGGCGCAGACGCGUACGGGAGGCAGUAGGGGGGAGUAUGGCACAACGGGCGGAAGCCUGAUGCAGCGACGCCGCGUGCGUGAUGCCGUCCUUCGGGGUGUAAACCGCUUUCGCCUGUGAUGAAGCGUGAGUGACGGUAAUGGGUAAAGAAGCACCGGCUAACUACGUG
rnacentral:rRNA from 1 species